GGUUGUGGUAUGUAGAUAAAAUCCAGCAGAUUUGCAAUUUUAGCAUUAGUACAUAAACCGGAAGAACAAACAGAUAUAUAGUUUAACAAUGAUCGAAGACAUUUACAAAUUUUGGACUGUGCGUCACUUCAUUCUCGGACCCAUAGAACAAACAGCAACAGCCCAUGAACUACCUAAUUAAAGAUGAAUAUAAUAUUCCACCAUAUCGUUUUAAUGAGCUGUAUAGCGACAUGCUUAGCUUUCUUAGCACCG